rnacentral:rRNA from 1 species
UACGAAGGGGGCUAGCGUUGCUCGGAUUGACUGGGCGUAAAGGGCGCGUAGGCGGUUCGUACAGUCAGACGUGAAAUUCCUGGGCUCAACCUGGGGGCUGCGUUUGAUACGUGCGGACUUGAGUGCGGAAGAGGGUAGUGGAAUUCCCAGUGUAGAGGUGAAAUUCGUAGAUAUUGGGAAGAACACCGGUGGCGAAGGCGGCGACCUGGUCCGAUACUGACGCUGAGGCGCGAAAGCGUGGGGAGCAAACAGG